GACGAACGCUGGCGGCGUGCUUAACACAUGCAAGUCGAACGGAAAGGCCCUGCUUUUGUGGGGUGCUCGAGUGGCGAACGGGUGAGUAACACGUGAGUAACCUGCCCUUGACUUUGGGAUGACUUCAGGAAACUGGGGCUAAUACCGGAUAGGAGCUCCUGCUGCAUGGUGGGGGUUGGAAAGUUUCGGCGGUUGGGGAUGGACUCGCGGCUUAUCAGCUUGUUGGUGGGGUAGUGGCUUACCAUGGCUUUGACGGGUAGCCGGCCUGAGAGGGUGACCGGCCACAUUGGGACUGAGAUACGGCCCAGACUCCUACGGGAGGCAGCAGUGGGGAAUAUUGCACAAUGGGCGGAAGCCUGAUGCAGCAACGCCGCGUGCGGGAUGACGGCCUUCGGGUUGUAAACCGCUUUCGCCUGUGACGAAGCGUGAGUGACGGUAAUGGGUAAAGAAGCACCGGCUAACUACGUG
rnacentral:rRNA from 1 species